GCCCUCGUGGCGAAAUGGUAGACGCACCGGACUUAAAAUCCGUUGCCCGCAAGGGUGUGCCGGUUCAAGUCCGGCCGAGGGCACCA
rnacentral:tRNA from 1 species